GACGUAGGAGGCGAGCGUUAUCCGGAUUCACUGGGCGUAAAGCGCAUGUAGGCGGAUGUCUAAGUCGUGUGUUAAAGCCCCUGGCUCAACUGGGGGAGGUCAUGCGAGACUGGAUGACUUGAGGGCAACAGAGGCACGUGGAACUCCCGGUGUAGCGGUGGAAUGCGUAGAGAUCGGGAAGAACACCCGUGGCGAAGGCGGCGUGCUGGGUUGCAACUGACGCUGAGAUGCGAAAGCGUGGGGAGCAAACAGGG
rnacentral:rRNA from 1 species